UUUUUUAUUUAUUUUUUAUUUUUUUUCAAACCUUUGGAUCUUAAAUCAUAGCCUAAUGAGGGCUUACUAGCCAAAUGGGAUAGAGAGUAACUAUAGAUCAGAUAUAGUAUAAUAUACUUAAUUUCCUCUUGAGAAUAUCAAUCUUCCAAAUGUAAGGGAUGUGGAAAAUUAUCCUUUAAUUAAUUAAUGAGGUAGGAAUGUUGGGAUCAAGGGUCAUUUUCACAAAUUGGCAAAUUAAGGGGAUUAGGAAAAGCCACUCCUGAUCACUAAAAAAAUGUAAACUUUCUCUGAAUAAUCCAAAUGAUACACAAGCGCUUGCCAAGAUUUGUUUGAAAAAUUUGUUUGAAAAAAAUUAAGGAUAGAGAUUUCUGGGACAAGCUGAAUCCAUUUUAAAAGAAAGUAUAAAUGGAACAAUAUGCUAUCAGCUUCAACAAUAGAUGAAUGUCAAAAUCAGCAAUAAAAACACAAACUCAUUCUUUGAGCACUUACUUAUAUACAGUUUGCUAAGUUUUAGGUAUAGUAUCUGACUUUAUCCUCACGAUAAACUCUCAAAUAUAUUAUUUUUUAUCCUCAUUUUACACAUGAAAAAACUAAGGCACAGAAAGGUUGAGUGGCUCUUCCAAGGUCACACAGCUAGUGAAAGGGUAUAGAUAGGACUUGAAAUCAGGUUUUUCUACUCCAAAGCAUAUGCAUAUUCUAAUUUACUUCUCUGCUUCUCACUCAUACAUUUUUAUUACUGCAUUUCUCUUCAUCUGUGCUUAUUAUUUCCAAUAAAGAUCAGAUAUAAAAUGUAGACCUGAAUGUGAUUCAGUGUUCAAAUCUUAUAAUAAUUUAUAAUAACUGUAAAUAAAUUCAGUCAUGAGAAAAAAAAAGCCUUAGUUGGAUCAUCUAUCUAACCUGGGAUUCAUAAAUCACAGUUGCCAUAUUCAUAAUGAGUCUACAGCACAUCAUAUGUCCAAUCAGGCCUGUAGAUUCCAUACACUCUGAAUCAGGAAUGUGAUGACUGGGAACACGAAAGCCAUAUCAAGAGUGUAAACUGUGCCAGAUUUGGUUCUGUCGAAGAGCCAAGUAUAUGGAAUCUACAGGCCUGAUUGGACAUAUGAUAUGCUUGCAUAGUGCUUGCACAUAGUAGGCUUUUAAUAAAUGAAUUUAAUUAAGUCCCAAGUCUCCUUUGGACUAGUUUCUAGGCCCAAAGACUUUGAAUAAGAUUGACACUAUAAUCAAUCUGAUCUCCAGGAGCUAAGGUGACUGCUUUCCCCUUUCUGAAGUCAAGGAUGAGAUGCUCCUUCCUUGACCCCACCUCCCUAGCACUGGACAGUUUUUAGUUUUCUUCCAGGUCUUGAGGCUUGAUUCCCAGGUCCUCAGGUUUCUGUGUCCUCCUAUGUUCCUGGGCACUACCAAUACAUCACUCCUUUCAUCCUCAGACGUGCUCUGUGCCUUCCUGCCUCUUUGCCUUUGCAGUAUUCCCUUGGUAUGAGAUGCCCCCUCCCCCAUGUCUUGGCUUCUGCCUGGCCCUUGUCUCAGAUUCCUGAACUUCGCCUGAACCAGGUACAGAUGUAAUUCCAGCCCCCCUCCUCCUCCAGUCCCUGCUUUCCAGACCAGAUGGGAGUACUUACUUCAGCCUACUAGGGUCUCCAACCUUGACCUGGCCCCUCAGAUCUGGUGGUUGGCCAGCAUGUGCCUGAUCAGAGACCUGAAAAGUUACCACCAGGAUGUAUGUGUCAGCUGGAGGCCUGGUUUCCAGCCUGCGCCUGCAAAUAUCUGACUUAUUUACUCGUCCUCCCUUUUGUUUGAGUUCUUUGAACACAGCAGGUUCCCCCAAAUGAUUUCAGACACCACAGAAAGAAACCUGCCCUCAUCAGUUCAGGAGUGAAAUGGCAAGUCAGGCCUGCAAAUAGGAUUCUGGCCUUUUCAAUGGCUCAGCUGCCUGUAGAGACAUGCAGACCCGCAGCACACCCCCAGAGAGAUGCAAGGCUCAGAUAGGAGGUGGUAAGAUGAGUAUUGAUAUGGUUCGUGAACCUUCAGAUAAAGGAUUUUAUUUGAAAGGGAGACUAGGCUCAGAGUCCGUUGACUCCAUCAAGGAGAGCAGUGAUGUGAUGUAUUGGUAACAAGGAUCUCCCUGGCCAUUUAGGAAAUCCAGUCACUUGGCCUGAACCAUGCCAGCCUUCAGCAUACGUCGUAAACAAUCUUCCCACUUUCUUCCUUUAUUGCCUUUAGAAAAUGGAGCAUGCUUUAGCUACAUUUCUGGAAUAACAGAAAAGUGAAGCAUUCCUGUGUUUGCCUGAGAUACGUUCUCACACACGGUUAUGAAAGAUAAGUCUGAGAUACCUCCCUCCCUUUCUUGCCACACUUGCACCUUCAGCUGGAAAUGAAGGCUCCAGAUGGCUGGACCCUAACUGUCCCUGCUAAUGGGCCAGCCUAGUCCAGCACAGACAGGGCCUCCUUACCAUUACUGUGCCCAUGAAGGAGCACUUGUCCCCACUUGCCUGGACAUGUGCUGCUUUGUAAUUGCCCCACCUUGACCACCAUCCUUCCCCUCUUCACCAACUCUUCAGCCCCCCCUGCAAAUCCUCAUCAUCCCCAUACCUCCACCUGUGCUAUUUAAGAUUAUUAGAGCUUAUAUAAUGGUUGCUUUCAGCUCUCUGAAAACAUUUCUACCAGGAAAAAAGAAGAUUGCCUGUUGAUUUUGUUUCCAACGUGUUAGCAUUUUCCCCCCAAUAGAGUCGAACCCAUUUGUUAAUGCUAUUUCCUCUAUUGAUUGGAAAUACCAGGGGGUCACACUCCCUAAAGCGCCCCUUCACACAGUAAAGGGCAACUCAAAUUGGAUUAGUUUAUUUAGCAAGGGUGUCAGCUCAUCAGUGCCUCUGAGACAACCCCUUCCAUUUUAAGUUACUGUUCUUAAGAAAGUUAGGUCCUUUUGAAUAAUCUGAGAUGUGUGAAAUAAGGUUAGUCACAGGAUUUCCUGCCACCAGAGCUCACAAACAAACUUUCCUCACUUCCUCUUUUUUAAAGUCCAAUUUAGACUCACUGAUCUAGUUGCUUUUGUUUUAGCGGUUACAGUCUCCACCCUGUUACCAAUGGUUAAAAGGAGUGACAGAAUCUCAAGUUCUCUCUCACUUGCUUUGCUCUCUUUCUCUCCCUCUCUGUCACUCUUCACCUCUGUUUCACUCUGUCUCUCUGUCUCUCUCUCUCUCUCUCACACACACACACACACACACACACACCCUCAAGACACUGAAACAACAGACAUUCUCUCCAUCAACUUAGACUCAGAAAACUCAGUUUCCUCUAGUUUGGGCUUCUUCCUCUCUCUUCCUUACAGGCUUUGUUAUCUAUCUUCCAAUCUACAGAACUGGCUAUCCUCCCAUGCUGGCCCUAGUCUCUUGCUAUCAGCCUCUUCCCAUCUCCUCAGGGGUUUAGGUUGUCAUCCUCUACAGAGCUCCAGACCCUAGAUAUUGGUUUAAUAAAUGGAGACAAAAGCAACAAAUCAGAUACAGUGUUAUUCCUCCCAGGUAAUAAUAUUUUAUUUCAAUUAAAACCUAUGUUUUCCCCAGGCCAUGAAAGAUAGAAUGUCAUGGCAGGACUUUUAGACUCUGAAGUACGGUUACCCCAUUUUGACAUAUAUCUCAGGUUCUUAAGACACUAUGCAUGAUGAGGCUAGAGAUUGGGGAGGUGGGCGGGGGUUGGGGUAACUGGGUGACGGGCACUGAGGUGGGCACUUGACGGGAUAAGCACUGGGUGUUAUUCUAUAUAUUGGCAAAUUGAACACCAAUAAAAAAUAAAUUUAUAAAAAGAAAAAAGAAAAAAAAAAUAGAGU
rnacentral:lncRNA from 1 species